GUCAUACUCAACGGCAGAGAAUAAGCUUGGUAAGUAAUGUAAUACAACCAUGCGGUGAAAUGUAUCACUAACUAAUACUACAAUAAAUAUUUGAAACAUCGAGCAUAAACAAGGAUUAGAUACCCUUUUAUCCGGUGCACGUUACCCCUACCGAGUAGUAAAGCCCUUAGGGCAUAAACUCAAACAACAUGGCGGUAACUUUAACUUAGGGGAACUUGUCAGGUAAAUGAUAACCCCCAAGGCAAAUCAAUUCUGAGUAACUCUUGUAUGCCGCCGUCGUCAGAUAAACCUUGACGGCUUAUCUUUAUCAGUUCGUGUAUAGGACAGGUCAAGGUGCAGACUAUCUCAGAACCGUGAUGAGUUACUAUUAAAUAGCAGCGAGACUAACGUGCGUGGGUCUUAAAGAAGGACUUAACAGUAACAUAUAUUGCUAAUAUUAUGUGGAGUGAUAAGUUGUGCACAA
rnacentral:rRNA from 1 species